UCUCUGGUGACGAAUUUUUUUAUGAAAGGGGAAUCAUUAUUACGAACGCGGGCUGACUCUGUUCUCUUUUAGGGGUUUUUCCGCGGGUUUGUUAUUAAAAAGAUAGUGUGUUCUCAGCAUAGACAUUUCUCAAGAGCACACUCCCUCUUAUUUCCUUUCCGGGGCAGACUAGUGAUGCACGGUAUAAAGGAUGCGUGAUAAGGGAAUUCCCGAACCUGAUGUCAGUAAGAAAAGCAUGAAUCAGACCAACAGUGAUUUCGACUUUUUUUUUAUUUUUUUAUUUUUACGUAGUGUGUGAUUUCAGGACAUAUUUCUAAGGUUGAGUUAGGUUAGGUUAGUCAUUGGUUAAAAGUUAGAGUAGCUUAGGUCAGGUCAGGUCAGGUGAGGUUGGUUAGGUUUGUCAGGAUUAGAUUAAGUCUUGGGAUGGGUUAGGCUAGGUUAGGUUAGUCAUGGGUUAAAAGGUAUAUUAGCUUAGGUCAGGUCAGGUCAAGUUAGGUGAGGUUAGUUAGGUUUGUCAGGAUUAGGUUAAGUCUUGGGAUGGGCUAGGUUAGGUUAGGUUAGUCAUGGGUUAAAAGUUAGAGUAGCUUAGGUCAGGUCAGGUCAAGUUAGGUGAGGUUGGUUAGGUUUGUCAUGAUUAGGUUAAGUUAGUCUUGGGAUAGGUUAGGCUAAGUUAGCUUCGGCGUGGGUUAAGUUAGCUUAGGUUAGGUUAGAUCAGGUCAGGUCAGGUUGAACGUAUUUCCUAUUCAUUUCCUUUCGGGGGAGAGAAUAAUGAUGUGUAAUGUUCUACGGCAGUUGUUCUUAACCUGGGUUCGGCGAAGAUCCUCCCGAAAGACUUUGCAAUUGAUUUUUAAGCAAAUUUUCUUUUAUAUUUCUAUGGAUUAAAAUGGAAUCGGUUCUUUGUAUUAUCCAAAAUUAAUAUACUCUUGAAUUUUGAAGCAAUUUUUCUUCCACUUGUAUGUUGUUGUUGUUUUUUUCUUUUUUUUCUUUAUACUUGAGGGGUUCGGCUACUGUGCGGAGGUUUUCGUUAGGGUUCGGCGCCUCUAAAAAGGUUAAGAACCACUGUUUACGGGUGCAAGGAGGGGAAUUCCUAAACCGAGAGUAAGAGAAGAAAAUACUAAAGCAGACUAACAAAUUUAAGGUCAUGAGUUAGUUGUGAACCUGGCACGCUUCCCGGACGUCGAUCUUGCUUAUAGGUUUGUUUGUUUUUUAAAAGACAACCCUAUGUGGAGGAGACGAAGGGAACGCCCACGUAGCUCAUGGUUAAAGCAAACUGUUCGAUCCUUGGAGGGGCUUGAGAUGAGAAGUAAGGUUAGGGUAAUCAUGGGUUAAGGUGAGUUAGGUUCGGUUAGGCUAGUUAAGGAUUACGUUAGAUUGGCCAUGGGUGAGGUUAGAUUACCAUGAGUUAGAUAGGUUAGGUUCUGUUAGGUUAAGCGUGGGUUAGAUUAGGUUAGGUUCUGUUAGGUUAAGCGUGGGUUAGAUUAGGUUAGGUUCUGUUAGGUUAAGCGUGGGUUAGAUUAGGUUAGGUUCUGUUAGGUUAAGCGUGGGUUAGAUUAGGUUAGGUUCUGUUAGGUUAAGCGUGGGUUAGAUUAGGUUAGGUUCUGUUAGGUUAAGCGUGGGUUAGAUUAGGUUAGGUUCUGUUAGGUUAAGCGUGGGUUAGAUUAGGUUAGGCAUGCGGUGGGUUAGGUUAGGUUAGGUUGGUUUAAGGGUUCUGUUAGAUUAGAUUCGGUAGAUUAGGUUCGAUUAGUCGUAGAAUGUUAUAUAUAGCUUAGGUUCGGUUAAGGUAGUCGUGGGUUAGAGUAGGUUAGUAAUGGGUGAGGUUAGGUAAGGUUAGAUAAGUCAUGAGGUAGGUUACAUUAUGUUGGGUUAGGUGAGAUCAGGUCAGGUUAGGUUGGGUUAGGUUGGUUAGGUUAGGUUAGGUUAGGUUAGGUUGGGUUAGGUUGGUUAGGUUUUCGGUUAGGUUUGUCAUGAUUAGGUUAGGUUAAGUUAGUCUUGGGAUAGGUUGAGUUAGAUUAUUUAAGGAAUAGGUUAAGUUAGCUUAGGUUAGGUCAGGUCAGGUCAGGUAGGUUAGAUUGGUUAGGUCUUCGAUUAGGUUUGUCACGGUUAGGUUAGGUUAGGUUAGUCUUGGGAUAGGUUAAGUUAGAUUAUUUAAGGAAUAGGUUAAGUUAGCUUAGGUUAGGUCAGGUCAGGUCAGGUAGGUUAGAUUGGUUAGGUCUUCGAUUAGGUUUGUCACGGUUAGGUUAAGUUAGGUUAGUCUUGGGAUAGGUUAGGUUAGAUUAGCCAAGGCGUGGGUUAGCUUAGGUUAGGUCAGGUCAGGUUGGGUUCGGUUGGUAGUGGUUUCGGCUCGCUUGGUCAUGGUUAGGUUGCAUUAGGUUAGCCAUGGGUUGGGUUAGGUUUGGUUAGAUUAGUCAUGGAUUAAAAGUUAGAUUAGAUUAGGUUAGGUUAGGUUAGGCCAGGUCAAGCUAUAUUUGUCAUGUUUAGGUUGUGACAUCUGUUAGGUUGCAUCAAGCUAGUCAUGGGUUGGUUUUGUGUCUUUCCGGUUACAAAACACUAGUGCAAGAGUGUUUUAAUAAAGAAGGAAAACUCAGAUUACAAGAAAUACAUUGAGUCGCCCCCUGCCUCUAUCCUGUCUCCACUUUCUAGACCAUUCACCCGACAUCAGCUCCGAGAAUAUGAAAAUACCAAACUACUUCUAUAACCUUUCUAUGGACCACUUUUACGGGCUAGUGGGUACAUACACCCAACAUACAAGGACACGUAUUCUCAACCGCUCUUGGCUCUCACAACUAUUUACAAAGGUAACAAAGGAGAUUAGUCGGGUUCUCAUGAGUGGUUCUUCACGUUCAUGGUACAGAAGCCUUGUCAAACUAUCACUGGGCUCAUAAAACUACCAAUGGAAACACCCACCACAACAACCACUAGGCUCAUAAAACUAUACCAAUGGAAACACCCACUCACAACGACCACUGGGCUCAUAAAACUAUACCCAUGGAAACACCCACUCACAACAACCACUGGGCUCAUAAAACUAUACCCAUGGAAACACCCACUCACAACAACCACUGGGAUCAUAAACUAUACCCAUGGAAACACCCACUCACAACAA